rnacentral:rRNA from 1 species
UACGUAGGGGGCAAGCGUUGUCCGGAUUUAUUGGGCGUAAAGAGCGUGUAGGCGGCCUGACAGGUCUGCUGUGAAAACUCGAGGCUCAACCUCGAGAUGUCGGCGGAAACCGUCUGGCUAGAGUCCGGAAGAGGAGAGUGGAAUUCCUGGUGUAGCGGUGAAAUGCGCAGAUAUCAGGAGGAACACCAGUGGCGAAGGCGGUGCUCUGGGCCGGAACUGACGCUGAGGAGCGAAAGCGUGGGGAGCAAACAGG